rnacentral:rRNA from 1 species
UACAGGGGGUGCAAACGUUGCUCGGAAUUAUUGGGCGUAAAGCGCGCGUAGGCGGCUACUUAAGUCGGAUGUGAAAGCCCCUGGCUCAACUGGGGAAGUGCACCCGAAACUGAGUGGCUUGAGUACUAAAGAGGGUCGCGGAAUUCCCGGUGUAGAGGUGAAAUUCGUAGAUAUUGGGAGGAACACCAGCGGCGAAGGCGGCGACCUGGUCAGAUACUGACGCUGAGGCGCGAAAGCGUGGGGAGCAAACAGG